UCUCUCUCUCUCUCUAUGAUCCCCAGUUUGGAUUGUUUGCCUUGGCUUCAUUCACCAUCUUCACUAACGUUACCUGCCAAGGCAAACAAUCCAAACUGGGGAUCUUAGAAGA